rnacentral:rRNA from 1 species
AUUGAACGCUGGCGGCAUGCUUUACACAUGCAGGUCGAACGGUAACAGGCCUUCUGGUGCUGACGAGUGGCGAACGGGGGAGUAAUGCAUCGGAACGUGCCCAGAGUAGGGGGGUAACGCAGCGGAAGCUGUGCUAUUACCGCACGUGCGCUGAGGAGGAGAGCGGGGGAGCAGGCAGCAAUGUUUGGCCUCGCGCCUUUGUAGCGGCCGAUGUCAGAUUAGGUAGUUGGUGGGGUAAAGGCCUACCAAGCCGACGAUCUGUAGCUGGUCUGAGAGGACGACCAGCCACACUGGAACUGAGACACGGCCCAGACUCCUACGGGAGGCAGCAGUGGGGAAUUUUGGACAAUGGGCGCAAGCCUGAUCCAGCAAUGCCGCGUGCGGGAAGAAGGCCUUCGGGUUGUAAACCGCUUUUGUACGGAACGAAAAGGAGCUAGCUAAUACCUGGGGCUGAUGACGGUACCGUAAGAAUAAGCACCGGCUAACUUCGUG